AAACCCUAAACCCUAAUGUCGCCUCCAUGUCCCAACUCCACCCUCCUCCCCCCGGGGGGUUUCCCGUCUUACUUCAGGAAUUAAAACGGGCUAAUGGAGGAAUUGGUCAUGAAUAUUUUAGCAUGUGAUCAAGGCAUUAAAUCUUGCCCAACAACGCAAGUAUGCUUUGUUUGUGGAAUUUUCAUGUCCUACCGUCAGAAAGAGGGGAAGUUGGUAUGGUUUAAGUUCAGAUUUGUGGUUAGAGUUGUGGCAGAAGUGUGCAAUUAACUGAUCUUUUGGCCAUUAGAAAAAAAAGAUUGGAACUUGGUGGUGUUUUUAACUCGAAGCUUGGACGCACUGCAAGUGAUGAGAAAACAGACAGGGACAUCAGCACUCCUAUCUCUGGAGAGUGAUGAUUUGCUCUAAUGGGAAUCUCUCUGAUGCACAAAUUUGUUAUUUCUCUCGAUGCAUCCCUUCCGAUCUGCACUUUUUUUUUGGUGAUAUAUAUAGUUGUUUGCAGUCAGAAUUCUAUGGUUCCUUUUUCUUUUUUAAUUUUUUAAAUUUUAAGACUAGUCUGCUGGUGAUGCAAAAUAUGCACGUAUUAUCGGAUUCAAAACGACGACAUUUUAAGAUUGUCACUACCACUGAGGCAGACUCGUUUUUGUGGUAUAUUUAUUCUAAUUCAUUGGGUUUUGAGUUUUGCGUGUUAAUUGGUGAAUAAUGUAGCAGUCUAUCUAUCUAUCUAUUACCUGGAAAUAAACAUAUUUGUAUUCCUUUAUAAAGUAUUUAUUGUUAUUAUGUUCUGUAUUAUUCUAUUCUUAAUUUUGUCAUUACAUACUGAUAAUUUUGGUCCUAUGUUCUUUUUCUGCAUGAAAUUGUUGCAUUUUUUUUUUCAUUUUUUGAUUAUUAGAUACAAAAAAAUAUACCUUAUUUGAGAUUAGGAAGUAUCUUCUUAUUUUUGUUUAGAUAUCCUAUUUUUCCUGUUAUAUUCUGCUUUAUCUAGUUAUAAUUUUACCUUUUGAUGUAUAAUUUGAUAAUAUCAAAUUCCUAUGGUGAUCUUAAAUAUAUUUUGAGACUUGAGCAAUCACUUUGAAAAGAAUUUAAUCUGGGGCGGUCAUUUUCUGUUUAACUCUUCUCUACGGACAAUUUGCACUCCUUUGUGGUGGUUUGUUUUCUACAUGAUAGGCUCAUUAGCCAUGCACUCUAUAAAUUCCUAAGCAUUAUACUAUGAUCCUAACUAUUUCAUGUUGAUUAAUUUUGUACUAUUCUGAGGUCAGCUAGCUUGCCUUUUUCAUCUAUUUUUAUUGCUAUGUUACUUUUUCAUUUGUUUUUAUUCAGAUAUUGAUAGAAAUAUUUACUUUGAUUUGAUUAUUUCGACCAAAGAAUCAUCCAUGGCAUAUGUCACUGCAUCAGCAAUUGAUAUAUUUUUUUUUUUCAUUACUUCAAAAUUCUUAUGCAUAUUAAAUGUCCUACCGAACAUGAUGAGGCCAUGUUUGUUUUCAGCUUUUCACUUUUUUUAAUGAUACACUUGUAAACUUGAAAUAGUUAAUAUGAUCAGAGAUACUUGUCUUUGAGAUCAAUCUGGAUCUGCCAAUGGGGCAUAUUGCACAUAUUACCAGAUUCAAGAAUUGUCACUGCCACAAAGACAGUCUCCAUCCAUAGCCCUUUUUUGAUUUAUGAUUGUAUUUGUGUUGUAUGGUUAUGAAUGAAAUGAAAUAUAUCUUCAAAUGAUAUUAGUUGAUUAGAAGUUUUCUAUUGUUUUGCUAUCUAUAAGUGGAGGCAAACCUUUAUAUAGGCUUCAUUCAUAUUUCACAAUAUGCAGCUUAUUAAGAUUUAGUAUAUAGACUUUCCCCAUCCUUUUGCAAGCUUGGUGUUAGAACGUUUUUGGCAUUUCAUAUAUGAACUUCAUUUUUUUUCUUCUUUAGAGUGCAUUAUGUAACUAGAUACCAGUGCUGACUAGUUUGCCUGAUUAUGAGUUGAAAAGGGCUCAUUUGUGUUCUUUGGAAAGAAGCAAGCUUUUACCAUGAUAGCUAUAAUUUUUUCAGAUCACCAUAAAUUUCUCCUCUAUUUAACAGCAUAAAGAUCUUAGCGAUGCUUUUUACUGUUUUAUCUUAAUUUUGUGUAAGUUGCAAAUGAUGAUAAAACAGACAGGGACAUCUGCACUCAUCUUGGGGUUGAUGAUCAUGUCUUGGGAAUUAAUUUAUUGGUCUGAUGCAACAAUCGUUUUUUUUUUUGUAAGUUUAUAUGCCAAGUUUAUCUAGAUCUUGAAUGUCUUGAUCAAGUGUGAAGUUACACUGAAUUGAUCUGGGUUUCCUUACAUACAUAUUGCCUGCAGGCUUUUUCCUCGUAAUAACAUACUACUUCAAUCGUCCUGCUUUUGACCAGUGAUGUUUAUUCUUUUCAUUUUUAAAGGUUUUGUUACAAGUGCCUGUGAUGGUUAUAAAUAUACUUUGAGUAAUUACUAUGAAAAGACAUCAAACUGAGGCACACUUUUCUUUAUUGUCCAUUCUUUAUUUUCUUUUUGAAGUGCAGAUCUCUAAGCAGUUUGGUGUUCUUUUGUAAUAGUAAGUCCCUUUCUAUUGGGUUUUCUACUCUGAUAGUUUUUGGUGUGUAAGGCUAUUGAUUUGAUUUAUAUAUGUUUGUUCUUUAUGAGUCUCAUUUCUAUGAUGAUUAAUAGCAUUUUCUUUUUGUUUUUUUUUUUUUGGGGGGGGGGGAUGGUUGAGGUAUCUAUGAUGCAGACAGUAGCUGCAGGAGUGGCAAGUCAUAUCUCCAUUUUUCGCGCAUAAAGUUCAAAUGUUGUCAUCAUGUGUUUGAAGUAUCUGAAUGAAUCUCUGUUGAAGUCCGACAAGUUUGGAGGGGAGAGGAGAGAUUUCCCCACCGAGUUUUACUAGGACAUAAGGGAAUCAUAUAAGAGGCUGAGGACCAAGAAAACGAGAUAUUAUUAGUUAAACGAGUGUCGAACAUCAGAUGACCUAGUUUCGUUCCGGGGCGCAGACGACACCAUGGUUUAAAUAGCUCCAAAAGCAGUCGCCAACACCGGGCUGCCGAACCUUUCUUAGUUCGGCCUUCGAAUAACUACUGAAAAGUUCUCAGAGUUUAGAAAUGUGCCAACCUCUAAUCAUACUAAAUAUUUCUGGUGAGAACUCGAGUAUUUGGGGCUCUUGAACCUAAAAUGUGCUAAAGAGGUGACAUUGUUUAAUUUAAGAACCACUUAAUUUUUGUAGCA